AUACAUCAGGCCUGAUUUGUUAAACAGCAACCUGAGAAUUUUCAGUUAAAUGCCCCAGGGAGAGAUGUUAGAGUUUGCAAUCUACAUUGCUGAGGUUCUGCAAAACAUGGUAUGGGUCCCUGCGGCGGAGUAUUUGGAGAGCAGGGUGGGCCAAUGCUCCAACAGCACUAGUUGCUGUGCAACAGACCACAAUUUAGAUCUGACCUAAGAGUUAACUAAUUGG